UACGUAGGGUGCGAGCGUUAAUCGGAAUUACUGGGCGUAAAGCGUGCGCAGGCGGUCUCGCAAGUCCGAUGUGAAAUCCCCGGGCUCAACCUGGGAACUGCGUUGGAAACUACGAGGCUGGAGUACGGCAGAGGGGGGUGGAAUUCCACGUGUAGCAGUGAAAUGCGUAGAUAUGUGGAGGAACACCGAUGGCGAAGGCAGCCCCCUGGGCUAGUACUGACGCUCAUGCACGAAAGCGUGGGGAGCGAACAGG
rnacentral:rRNA from 1 species